GUAUUUCCUGCAGAUUGUUGUUUCCCCGGCUGAGUCUUUCCAUUUUAUAUGGAUCCCCUCAAGUACCCCAGUAGUUUUAAGUCGUAUCCUGGCCUACGCAUAACUCCUUUUCCCCCCAGAGUCUCUGUCUCCCCAGUGAGUUUUCCUUAUGGAAUGCAUUGUGUUCCUGCGGAUUUCGGUCUCUCUGAUUUCUUUUUCCUUUGUGGCAAUAUUUCC
rnacentral:lncRNA from 1 species